CAGCGAGAAUCGAAAUGAUUUGGACGGUAUGAAUGGUUCGGCCUUAAUAAAACCCCGAUCCCCCAGAUGGUCCUGAGCCCUCGAUUUCGUGAUCUCUCUCGUAGAAUUCCAAUCUCCACCCCUCAUCGAUGCGCCACCCCUCGAUCUCUCAAUGAAGACCCUUUUGUUCCCUUCUGGUCGCCUUCUAUCGCCGGAAAGCCCCCCGCCACGAAGAACUGGAGCCCGUUCCCUUCCUCCCCCUCGCCCCCUCUCCCUCUCCUUGCCUCUCUCUCUCUCUCUCUCCGAGGGUUCUGAUCUCCACCACUUGCUGGUAUGCUUCAUAUCGAUCUCUCAAUGAAGGUCAUCUCACCCCCCUUCCAGUUGCCUUCCAUCACAGAAAAGCUCCUCGCCGCAAAGAAUCGGAGCCCCCUCCUCCCGUGGCCGCCGCUCUCCUCGAACCACGAUGGCUUGGUUGCAGGAUGACAGUGGCAAAUGCAUCUUUCAAAUUGUUCAUGAACAAUAGGGUUAUUGUGAUCAAUAUUUACAAAAGAAUCGAAUGAUCACUACAAAAUUAUUUGCUUCAACCAACCAAGUAGCACUUAUGAAGUUUAUAUAAACUGUGAAUAGGGUCCGGAUGUUGAUGUUUUAUUAGAAAUCCAUCACGAGCUUUAUACUCUCAGUUCUUGAAGAGUUGCUGUCGAUUCUGGUGCUGUGGGUCUUCAACAAAAUUGCUUGCUUUCACAACAAGUUGGCCUUGCUCAAAGAAAUCAAAACAAAGAGCCAGCAAAACCACCUACCAUGAUGGCCAGGCGUGCAACAAAGAUGCUGUAGUAGGAGGGGAGACAGCGCGUAGUUUGGUAGCUGAAUUCCUCUUCUUCUGGCUGCCCAGGGACAAUUUCCCUCUGUGGAAGGAUGGAUGUUCUGUUCUCUCUGCACUUGACGAAGGCCUGGAGCUUCUUGAAAAGCUUUGCCAAUGGCUUCAUCACAGCUGAAGAAGUCUGAUGUGCUCCUGCCAUGCUUCAUCUACCCAGAACAUGAGAUAAAAUAUUCUGCACUCCUAAAGAGCCAUUGUGGUGAAGUAAUCGAGCUUUGUCGAUUCCCACUUAUUGAACAUGGAUUUUGUAGCGAAUUUCAAAAAGUGGUUUUGUCAUCUGAUUUUUCUUCCAUAUUCUCUCGGCCAUUGUUAUUCUCCAAAAGUUGGCUGGAUGGCGGACAGAAAUUUAAAAUGAUAGAGAGCGCUAAAAUUACUCUGA